UGGGGAAUAUUGCACAAUGGGGGAAACCCUGAUGCAGCGACGCCGCGUGGGCGAAGAAGUAUUUCGGUAUGUAAAGCCCUAUCGGCAGGGAAGAGGAAGGACGGUACCUGACUAAGAAGCACCGGCUAAAUACGUGCC
rnacentral:rRNA from 1 species